CCAGAUCCGGUAAGUGAUGGAAAUAUUUUAGCAUGCUACGAUCUUUUUUUUAAAUCUCUCAUAUCUUCAGCUGACUCUCAUAUUCCUAAAAAACACCCUCCCAAAAAUCAUCUGCUUUCUUCUCCCUGGUGGGAUGAUGAAUGCAAUGAUUUAUUUGCUCAAAGAACAUCUGCAGAAAAGACAUAUUCAAAUUGUAUGUCUCAGGAGAACUUUAUUAAAUAUCAGAGGCUUGAUUCCAAAGUUAAAAAGUUAGUUGCAAGGAAGAAAAGAAGUAGUUGGACUCGGUUUUGUGAAUCACUUAGUCCUAGAUCCCCAUCUUCAAUUGUAUGGACGAAUAUUAGGAAAUUUCGACGUUCCCUCAACCAUACUGAUCCCUCAUCCAACAAUCCCUUGGAUUGGCUUAAUGACUUUGCUGACAAAUUGGCUCCACCUUAUGUCCCUAAUAUUGACUUGUUUCCAAAUUUUACUCCAACUCCCUCUUCAGAUGAUAUGGAUGCUCCCUUUUCUUUUUCUGAGCUCCAAAUUGCUCUGAAUGGCUUAAAGGAUUCGACACCAGGGGAAGAUGGCGUCCCUUAUUCGUUUUUGACUAAUCUAAAUGACAAAGCUAAAAUCCAUUUCCUCAAUAUAAUUAAUAAAUUUUUUGAAACUGGUACUGUCCCUCACUCCUGGAAAUCCCAAAUAGUUAUUCCUGUUAUCAAACCUGGUAAAAAUCCCUUGGAUUCUUAUUCCUAUAGACCCAUAGCUUUGUCAACUACAUUGGCAAAAAUAACAGAACAUCUUCUUAAAAACCGCCUGGAAUGGAUAAUUGAAAGUAAGAAUAUUCUUCCCUCCUCCCAAUUUGGGUUUCGGAAGGGACUGAGUACUACUGACAGCCUCGGCAUAUUGACAACAGACAUCCGGAUAGCCUUUACAAAAGGCGAGUACCUUGCGGGCGUUUUUCUAGAUAUCGCUUCUGCAUAUGACAACGUUCAACUUCCGGUACUCAGGCAAAAAUUGCAAUCUCUGAGUAUCCCGCCGAAGUUAACACAUUUUAUAUGUAGCCUGCUGUUCUGCAGGUCCAUAGUGGUCAAACACCAGUCAUCCUCUCUUCCCCCCAGACUCGUCUGGAAAGGUCUCCCUCAAGGCUCAGUUCUCAGCCCUCUUCUAUAUAGCAUUUAUACACAUGAUCUCGAAUUGUCUGUCAGCAGUUUUUGUAACAUCCUGCAAUACGCUGAUGAUAUUGCCCUCUAUCACAGCUCUGGCAGUGUAGAGGAAAUAUCUUGUCGUAUUAAUUCUGCUUUAUAUUAUCUAGGUCAGUGGCUUUCUGAUCAUGGUUUGUCCCUCUCUGUAGGGAAAUGCCAGGCAGUGGUUUUUACAAGGAAAAGGUCCCUUCCAUCCUUCCAAUUUUCAAUUGAGGAUCAACUAAUCCAUCUUUCAGAUAAAAUAAAAUUUUUGGGUAUUUACCUUGAUAACCGCCUUUCUGGAAUUGCACAUUCUGAACAUAUUAUCAAAAAAUGUGAAAAGGGGAUUAAUGUGAUACGAGCAGUAGCAGGAGUCUGGUGGGGUGCCCACCCAUACUCCUUAAAACUUUUAUAUAAUGCCUUAGUUAGAAGCCAUAUGGAUUAUUGCAUGUUUAUUCUUGAACCUUUUAAUAAAUCCGCAGUUCAAAAACUUAAUAAUAUUCAAUUCAGAUGCCUCAGAAUUAUACUGGGCGCAAUGAAAUCUUCCCCCACCAAUGCACUUCAAGUGGAAUGUGUGGAUCCUCCUCUAACAAUUCGUCGCCAGUACCUUUGUGACCGGUUUGUUAGCAAGAUGUUACAAUUAUCAUCCCACCCCCUUUGGCCCAGAUUAACUCAACUAUCUAGUGCUCCCCAAUCCCGUAACUCUUCAUCAUAUUUAGUAGAUAGUUUUUUGAAAUACACUAAUCUCCCUCAUCCGGUUUCAACUUUCCCACUUAAUCCAUUGUUUUCUACCCCUUAUAAUGCUCUAGUAUAUAACCCUCUUAUCAUCACUGAUAUUGGCCUGGUUAAAGGUGCCCCAGACACUAACAAUAAAUUUCAAAAUUAUAUUCACCAAAAUUGGUCAAAUCACAUUCUUAUUUAUACUGAUGCAUCAAAGCUGUCCCCUGAUGGCUGUGUUGGUGCUGCCUGUUGGGUUCCCAGGUAUAAAAUAAUUUUAAAGUUUAAAUGCCCUCCCGAGUCUUCUGUGUUUACAGGAGAAGCCACUGCUUUAUUGGAAGCAAUUUUGUUUGCACAUUCCCAUAACCUCAAACAAACUGUAAUUUUGACUGACUCCCUUAGUUGUUUAAUGUCUAUAAAAGAAAAUCCUUUUCGAAGCAAGUCAAGAUUUCCCAUUAUUUUGAAGAUCAGGGAAGCUUUGCUCUCGUGUAAUCAAAAAGGAUUAACCAUAAUUUUGGUUUGGAUCCCUAGCCACUCCGGUAUCCCUGGAAACGAGACUGUUGAUUCCUGCGCUAAAUUAGCUGUUAUCUCUGGCUCUCUUGACCAUUUCCAAAACUCGGCUCAAGAUUUAUGCGGUCUUGCAAAAACUUAUCUUAACCGAUCUUGGAAUACACUCUGGAAUUAAUCAAAGUCCAUCAAAGGCAAAUAUUAUGCCUCAAUCCAGCCGGACAUACCAACUCGACCAUGGUUUUUCAAAUAUAGGAAUGCUGAUCGCUGGGUCACCUCUACUAUUUCCCGGUUACGGCUUGGUCACUCUUGUACACCUGUUUUUUUGGCCAAACUCCGGAUAAGGAAUAGCUCUAUAUGUGAAUGUGGCUUGGAUGAAGGCACUGUAUCACACAUCCUUUUCAACUGUCCCAAACUUCUUCAUCCUCUUUAUGAUGUCCUCCCCCCUAACAUCCCUCGUCCCGUAAACGUGUGAGUGUGGCUAAUGUUAAAAAUAAACUUCUCUUUACUACAUAGCUGAUCAAAUUUCGCAACAUAUAUCACCGAUCAAUCUCCUUCGAGCCUCCCUCUUCAACGCGACACUGGCGAAACAAUCAGUGCCCAGUUGGCACACCUAAAAGCCACUGCUUGGAAAUUGAAUUGAAA